rnacentral:rRNA from 1 species
GACGAACGCUGGCGGCGUGCUUAACACAUGCAAGUCGAACGAAGUGGCGAACGGGUGAGUAACGCGUAAUCAACCUGCCCUUCAGAGGGGUACAACCGUUGGAAACGACUGCUAAUACCGCAUACUGAAGGAGGGGAUUGCGUCUGAUUAGCUAGUUGGAGGGGUAACGGCCCACGAAGGCGAGGAUCAGUAGCCGGGCUGAGAGGAUGAACGGCCACAUGGGGAAUGAGCAACGGCCCAGACUCCUACGGGAGGCAGCAGGGGGGAAUCUUCCGAAAUGGACGAAAGUCUGACGGAGCAACGCCGCGUGAGUGAUGACGGCCUUCGGGUUGUAAAGCUCUGUUAAUCGGGACGCGGUACCGGAAUAGAAAGCCACGGCUAACUACGUGCCAGCAGCCGCGGUAAUUC